CCCCUCUCAGGACUGCACCUGGAGAUUUUCCAGCACUCUACUACUCUCAACUAACGGAGGGAGAGUCAAGCAGAGGCAUACCCAUUCCAUUCCUAGCUUGGCCAGUGGCUAGCAAAUGGAAGGCAAUCUGCCACAAGU